UACAGAGGUCUCAAGCGUUGUUCGGAUUCAUUGGGCGUAAAGGGUGCGUAGGUGGCGGGGCAAGUCAGGUGUGAAAUCUCGGGGCUCAACCCCGAAACUGCACUUGAUACUGCCUUGCUCGAGUACUGGAGAGGAGACUGGAAUUUACGGUGUAGCAGUGAAAUGCGUAGAUAUCGUAAGGAAGACCAGUGGCGAAGGCGAGUCUCUGGACAGUUACUGACACUGAGGCACGAAGGCCAGGGGAGCAAACAGG
rnacentral:rRNA from 1 species